GAUGAACGCUGGCGGUGUGCUUUAAGCAUGCAAGUCGAGCGGAGUUAGUAGCAAUACUAACUCAGCGGCGGACGGGUGCGUAACACGUAGGAAUCUACCUCUUAAUGGGGAAUAGCUUGGCGAAAGUCGAGGUAAUACCGCAUAAGCCCGCAAGGGGAAAGCUACACAGCAAUGUGGGGCGUUGAGAGAAGAGCCUGCGGCCUAUCAGCUAGUUGGUGAGGUAACAGCUUACCAAGGCGAUGACGGGUAGGGGGCGUGAGAGCGCGACCCCCCACAAGGUCACUGAGACACGGGGCCUACAUCUACGGAUGGCAGCAACUGGGAAUCUUGCGCAAUGGACGAAAGUUUGACGCAGCGACACCGCGUGUGGGAUGAAGUAUUUCGGUAUGUAAACCACUGUGGCGAGGGAUGAACACUGACAGUACCUCGCUAGAAAGCAUCUGCUAACUACGUGCCAGAAGCCUCGGCAAUACGUGGGAUGCAAGCGUUAUCCGGAUUUACUGGGCGUAAAGGGUUUCGCAGGCGGAUGAUUAAGUCAAGUUUCAAAGCCCACGGCUCAACUGUGGAUCGGGAUUUGAUACUAGUCAUCUAGAGGACAUCAGGGGAGACCGGAAUUCU
rnacentral:rRNA from 1 species